GAAUUUAAAUUAUUAUUAAAAUUUUUAAUUAAAUUUUAUUUUAUCAAAAAUAUUUUAUGUUUAAUUAUUUAACGAAAAAAUUUUUUUUAUUAUAGUUUAAAGUAUUGUGAAAGAAUUAAUUUAAUUAUUUUAAAGAAGAAUUAAAUUUUUGUACCUUGUGUAUCAGGGUUAAUUAAAUAAAUUUUUAAAAUUAAAUAUUCUCGAAUUUAAAAGAGCUAAUCUAUUAUUUAUUUUAUUGUUAAAUAAAUAUUUAUAAUAAUAGAAUAGAAAUGAAACGUUAUUCGUUUUUAAAUAUAUCUAGUUUUUAAAGAAAUGAAUUUAAUUUAUUUAUUAAUAAUUAAAAUUUUAAUUUUUUAAUCUUUUAUUAUUAAUAAGAAAUUUUUUUAGGGAUAAGCUUAAAAAGAGAUUGUUAUAAUAAAUUUAAUAUUAAAUAAAUUAUAGGAUUAGAAAUUUCCAUAAGUAAAAAUUUGUUAUAAUUAAUUAUUUUAAUUUUAAUAUUUAUAUUUUAUUUAAAUUUUUUAUUUAAAUAUAAGUUUUAAUUUAAAAAAUUUAGCAAUAAUGAUUAAAUUAGUAUAAGUUUAUGUAUUUUUAUAUUUUUAUAUAAAGGUUAGUUUAAGGAAUUCGGCAAAUUUAUUUUUCACCUGUUUAAUAAAAACAUGUCCUUUUGAUUAUAAUUUAAGGUCUAAUCUGCCCACUGAAUUUUAAAUGGCCGCGGUAUUUUGACCGUGCAAAGGUAGCAUAAUCAUUAGUUUCUUAAUUAGAAGCUGGAAUGAAUGAUUUGAUGAAAAAAUAACUGUCUCAAAUUAAUUUAAUUAGAAUUUUAUUUUUAAGUUAAAAAGCUUAAAUGUAAUUAAAAGACGAGAAGACCCUAUAGAGUUUAAUUUAAUUUUAAUUUAUUAAAUUAUAGAUUAUUUUUUUUUUAUUUUGAAAUUAAAUUUUGUUGGGGUGAUGAAAAAAUUUAAAUAACUUUUUUUUAAUUAUAAC
rnacentral:rRNA from 1 species